CGCGUAGGCGGUUCGGUAAGUAGGAGGUGAAAUUUCGGGGCUCAACCCCGAAACUGCCUUCUAAACUGCCGAACUGGAGCACGGUAGAGGCAGAUGGAAUUCCCGGUGUAGCGGUGGAAUGCGUAGAGAUCGGGAAGAACACCAGUGGCGAAGGCGGUCUGCUGGGCCGUUGCUGACGCUGAGGCGCGACAGCGUGGGGAGCAAACAGGAUUAGAUACCCUGGUAGUCCACGCCGUAAACGAUGGGCACUAGGCGUCGGGGGGAGCGACCCUCCCGGUGCCGUCGCUAACGCAGUAAGUGCCCCGCCUGGGGAGUACGGCCGCAAGGCUGAA
rnacentral:rRNA from 1 species